GGGAAAAGUAGAGAAAAGAUCGAUCCGACAUGGAACCUAUGAAGAUCAUUCAAUGGUGGGCGCCAAGAUCCCUCUGGGAUCUCUUGUUUAUAUAAGUAUUAAAGAAUUUUAAGAAAGUUCCUUAGCUAAGAUUUCGACGUUAUGUUAAGGAAUGUUGAUGAAACUGAGACCAAGACCUUGGUGUUUAUGUGGCCAUUAUAAAACAGGCCGUGCUCUUUGUAAAAUUUGUUAAACUAAACAUUUACGCAUUGUUUUAAUUGACAUUAUUUACUUGAAUGUUCAUCGUCAUUUAAGGUUAAUUGUCCUCAUUUUAUUACUUAUUUGGUUUUAUAUUACACAAAUGUUUAAAAUUUGUUUUAACACUUAUUGAUGUGUUUAUCGGGUCACUCUGUAGUAAUGUAUUACAAGUGUACACGUAAAAUAUGUCACAGAAAUGUAGCAUAUAUCCUUAAGGAGAGUCGUUUUUGUGUCACCUACGAAACAGCAGGUAGGUAUCACUAUGUCCGUGUCAGUCAGUGGCAGUGUCCGCAUAGAGGUUUCUAUGCGAUAACUUAAGUUCCUGAGGGCUGUUCAAACAAAAACUUCAUUCAGAUCUUCCGUCCCAAAAGUGCUUGUUUGGGAUUGCUUUUCAUGUCUAAUGGUCAAAGGUCAAGGUCACUGUUACUAAAAAUAGAAAAUUUGUUUCCUUGUGUUAACUCCACUUCCUUUGGCCAGUUCCUUUGGCCCAUUAAACUCAAUUUGCAUGCAGGUUUUACCACAAGUGCUUGCAUGGGAUUGUUUUUUUUUACUAGUCCAAAGGUCAAGGGUCAAGGUCACUGUUACUAUAGAUAGAAAAUAUGGUACUAGAUUAAGAAAUAGCAAAUUUGUUUCCUUGUGAUAAAUCAAGAUCCUUUGUGCCAUUUCUUCCUAAUCACCGAGCUUUCUGUGCAGGUGACGCAUCCACUUCCAUGGAAUUCUUCUUUAAGCUUGGCACGAUGAUUUAGGUAAAACAAACUGUAUACAGCAUAAAGGUCUGUAUUAUAUUUUGAGUAUCAAGAUUUUGGCCUUGUAGUGUUUGUAUGUGACUUUGGCAAUAUUUUUAUACUGCAUGUAUUUCAUACAUAAGCCACAUUUUUAUACUUUGUGCAUGUUAGUUAUAUAUUAGUGUAUUAAUUUUGAUCUCUCUUAUAAUACAUACAUGUAUUUAGUAUGUAUAAUUAAAUGAAGGUUUCGCUGACAUUUUUAUACUCCAUUUACUUGAAUAGUAACUACCAUUUGAAAUGAUGCAGUGCAUAUUAAUAUAUGUGUUUUUCUACCUUACCUAGGUAGAUUUGAUAGUUAUAUUUUGUAUAACAUUUAUGUAGUGUUUGUGUAUACAUUUAAGUGUAUAUCAUGAUUGUAGAUUUAGCCACUAAUAAAAAAAAGAUAUUAAUGCCAA